GGUUAAGGUUGGAACAAGUUGUUUUCUUCUGGACAUGGAAAACUACAUGAAUGAAGGAAAGGAUGCACGUUUGCCAUUCUUAAAAAAGUGGUCCACCUUGGUUCAGACUUCCUGUUCUGCAAGUUCAGUUGACUAUAUGCCGCGUUGGGGUGAUACCUUAAAUGAGUCUGCUGUUGAUAUGAACAACAUGGAUCUUUCUGACGAUGGUGAAGUGGAGAUGGUGGCGACAGAAGAUGACACUGCAAGUUAAGCCUAGGAGGAAUCCACACCAGGGAAGCUCUCAAAAGUCUGCUAAGAAGAGGAC